GAGGGUGUAGCUCAGUGGUUGAGUGCGUGCUUAGCAUGCGCAAGGUCCUGGGUUCAAUCUCCAGUACCUUCG
rnacentral:tRNA from 1 species